rnacentral:tRNA from 2 species
AUUUAAGUAGCUUAAUAUAAAGCUUAAUAUUGAAGAUAUUAUUAUGGGUUAAUACCCCUUGAGUA